rnacentral:rRNA from 1 species
AGCAGCCGCCGGUAAUACGUAGGGCGCAAGCGUUAUCCGGAAUUAUUGGGCGUAAAGAGCUCGUAGGCGGUUUGUCGCGUCUGCCGUGAAAGUCCGGGGCUCAACCCCGGAUCUGCGGUGGGUACGGGCAGACUAGAGUGAUGUAGGGGAGACUGGAAUUCCUGGUGUAGCGGUGAAAUGCGCAGAUAUCAGGAGGAACACCGAUGGCGAAGGCAGGUCUCUGGGCAUUAACUGACGCUGAGGAGCGAAAGCAUGGGGAGCGAACAGGAUUAGAUACCCGCGUAGUCCCUGUCUCUUAUACAC